rnacentral:rRNA from 1 species
AGUGAACGCUGGCGGUAGGCCUAACACAUGCAAGUCGAACGGCAGCACAGGAGAGCUUGCUCUCUGGGUGGCGAGUGGCGGACGGGUGAGGAAUACAUCGGAAUCUACCUUUUCGUGGGGGAUAACGUAGGGAAACUUACGCUAAUACCGCAUACGACCUACGGGUGAAAGUGGGGGACCGCAAGGCCUCACGCGAUUAGAUGAGCCGAUGUCCGAUUAGCUAGUUGGCGGGGUAAUGGCCCACCAAGGCGACGAUCGGUAGCUGGUCUGAGAGGAUGACCAGCCGAACUGGAACUGAGACACGGUCCAGACUCCUACGGGAGGCAGCAGUGGGGAAUAUUGGACAAUGGGCGCAAGCCUGAUCCAGCCAUACCGCGUGGGUGAAGAAGGCGUUCGGGUUGUAAAGCCCUUUUGUUGGGAAAGAAAUCCUGUCGAUUAAUACUCGGUGGGGAUGACGGUACCCAAAGAAUAAGCACCGGCUAACUUCGUGCCAGCAGCCGCCGUAAGAC